UUUAAGGCCAAUCAGAUGCGGUUGCUAGGCGGACCAGAAUAGGCCAGCCAAUCAGCCAUUUUGCUGCCAAUGCCGUCAUUAGUCACGACCUCUGGGAGGGGCGCAGAGGGGCGGAGAAACGGAAGUCCGAAAACAGAUUUAAACUAAGUCUAAAGUAUUGCUUCUGUUUGCUAGUAGUGGGAGGAAACGUAGUUACCGGAGAGGUCUGGAUGCUAAAACAAACUCUGGUGCUGUUUUUCGUCGUUAAUAAAGAGGUCUGGAUGCUAAAAACAAACUCUGGUGCUGUUUUUCGUCGUUAAUAAAGAGGUCUGGAUGCUAAAACAAAUGCUGGAGCUGCUUUUUGUCGAACAUGAGUGAGAUUGGACGCUCAACACACCUGCGGCGCGAAGGUUUGCUGGUUCAGCUUCUGCAGCCUGGACAGAAACACCAGCUCUCACCUGACAACCCAAACAGAUGUCACCACUUCGUCCACAAUCACAGAGAGUCUUCGUACAAUGAAGAAGGUCUUUGAGACCAGGACAGAGGCCUCCAGGAUUCAAACUUCAACCAUUAAAUCACAGAAAGAAGAGACAGACAUGAAGACAUUUCCAGAAGGUCUUCAGCUGCUGUUGUCUUCUCUCCUGCAGAGACAAGAACAUGAGUUAAUCACAGAAACUGAUCAGUAAAUCAAAAAUAUUUUUAUGACAUACUAUUGUGACUAUUGUGAUAUUUUUACACAUUUUACUAUACUAUGACAUGUGGCUUAAGAUAAAGAAACUAUCUUUAAGCAGCCAGCUUACCUAUGUUUUCCACAAUCACACACACUCUCUAAACAGUGUUUGUGAGUUAUGUUAGAUUUUGUGUUUGUCUUUUCAUUUUAGUAUUUUGCUAUUUCAAACAAUGCAAUAUCAGUACUCCAAUCUGUUACUCUGUACAUAGUCCUGUUUAUACUGUUUGUGUUGUUUAUAAUUUUUACAUCUCUUGUCUUGUUCAUAUCAUGCAUUUUUCUAUUUUUGCUGCUGCAACACUGAAUUUUCCUGCUGUGGGACCAAAAAAAGAUUAUCUUACUCUUAGUCAAAUAAAUACUUCUGAACAGUGAGUAUUUUGCCAGUGUGUUUAAUGUUGUAUGAAA